rnacentral:rRNA from 1 species
UACGUAGGGUGCGAGCGUUGUCCGGAAUUACUGGGCGUAAAGAGCUUGUAGGUGGUUUGUCGCGUUGUUCGUGAAAACCGGGGGCUUAACCCUCGGCGUGCGGGCGAUACGGGCAGACUUGAGUACUGCAGGGGAGACUGAAUUCCUGGUGUAGCGGUGGAAUGCGCAGAUAUCAGGAGGAACACCGGUGGCGAAGGCGGGUCUCUGGGCAGUAACUGACGCUGAGGAGCGAAAAGCGUGGGGAGCGAACAGG